rnacentral:misc_RNA from 1 species
GAUGAAGAACGCAGCGAAAUGCGCUAAGUAAUGUGAAUUGCAGAAUUCAGUGAAUCAUCGAAUCUUUGAACGCACAUUGCGCCCGCCAGUAUUCUGGCGGGCAUGCCUGUUCGAGCGUCAUUUCAACCAUCAAGCCCCAGGCUUGUGUUGGGGACCUGCGGCUGCCGCAGGCCCUGAAAACCAGUGGCGGGCUCGCUGUCACACCGGGCGUAGUAGAUUUUAUCUCGCUCAGGGCGUGCUGCGGGUCCCGGCCGUUAAAAGCCUUUUUUUACCCAAGGUUGACCUCGGAUCAGGUAGGAAGACCCGCUGAACUUAAGCAUAUCAAUAAGCGGAGGA